CCUACGGGUGGCAGCAGUGAGGAAUAUUGGUCAAUGGACGAGAGUCUGAACCAGCAAAGCAGCGUGAAGGAUGACUGCCCUAUGGGUUGUAAACUUCUUUUAUAUGGGAAUAAAAUGUUAAACGUGUGGGAUUUUGUAUGUACCAUAUGAAUAAGGAUCGGAUAGCUCAGUGCCAGCAGCCGGGGUAAUACGGAGGAUCCGGGCGUUAUCCGGAUUUAUUGGGUUUAAAGGGAUCGUAGGUGGAUUGUUAAGUCAGUUGUUAAAGUUUGCGGCUUAACCGUAAAAUUGCAGUUGAAACUGGCAGUCUCGAGUACAGUAGAGGUGGGCGGAAUUCGUGGUGUAGCGGUGAAAUGCUUAGAUAUCACGAAGAACUCCGAUUGCGAAGGCAGCUCACUGGACUGCAACUGACACUGAGGCUCGAAAGUGUGGGUAUCAAACAGGAUUAGAUACCCUAGUAGUC
rnacentral:rRNA from 1 species